AGAGUUUGAUCAUGGCUCAGAACGAACGCUGGCGGCGUGCUUAACACAUGCAAAGUCGAAACGCGAAAAGGGACUUCGGGUCCCGAGUAGAGUGGCGCACGGGUGAGUAACGCGUAAGUAAUCUACCCCUGUAUCUGGAAUAACAUCUCGAAAGGGGUGCUAAUACCGGAUAAGCCCACGGAGCCUUCGGUCUCUGCGGGAAAAGGUGGCCUCUAUUUAUAAGCUACCGUAUCAGGAUGGGUCCGCGUACCAUUAGCUAGUUGGUAGGGUAAUGGCCUACCAAGGCUACGAUGGUUAGCUGGUCUGAGAGGAUGAUCAGCCACACUGGAACUGAGACACGGUCCAGACUCCUACGGGAGGCAGCAGUGGGGAAUUUUGCGCAAUGGGGGAAACCCUGACGCAGCAACGCCGCGUGAGUGAUGAAGGCUUUCGGGUCGUAAAGCUCUGUCAGUAGGGAAGAAGUGUAAGGGUGCUAAUACCAUCUUUACUUGACGGUACCUACAAAGGAAGCACCGGCUAACUCCGUGCCAGCCGCCGCGGUAAUA
rnacentral:rRNA from 1 species